rnacentral:rRNA from 1 species
UAUUGCACAAUGGGGGAAACCCUGAUGCAGCAACGCCGCGUGAGUGAAGAAGUAUUUCGGUAUGUAAAGCUCUAUCAGCAGGGAAGAAAGAAAUGACGGUACCUGACUAAGAAGCCCCGGCUAACUACGUGCCCGCAGCCGCGGUAAUACGUAGGGGGCAAGCGUUCUCCGGAUUUACUGGGUGGAAAGGGAGCGUAGACGGCGAUGCAAGCCAGAUGUGAAAGCCCGGGGCUCAACCCCGGGACUGCAUUUGGAACUGUUUGGCUGGAGUGUCGGAGAGGCAAGUGGAAUUCCUAGUGUAGCGGUGAAAUGCGUAGAUAUUAGGAGGAACACCAGUGGCGAAGGCGGCUUGCUGGACGAUGACUGACGUUGAGGCUCGAAAGCGUGGGGAGCAAAUAG